rnacentral:rRNA from 1 species
GAGAGAGGGGGCGAGCGUUGUCCGGAGUCACUGGGCGUAAAGCGCGCGCAGGCGGCAACCUUAGUGUCGUGUGAAAGCCCCCGGCUCAACCGGGGGAGGCCAUGGCAAACUGGGUCGCUCGAGCUGCGGAGAGGCCCCUCGAAUUGCCGGUGUAGCGGUGAAAUGCGUAGAGAUCGGCAGGAAGACCAAGGGGGAAGCCAGGGGGCUGGCCGCAGGCUGACGCUGAGGCGCGACAGCGUGGGGAGCAGACCGG